GGGGGGUUUUUAGUACGUAGGCAAUUAGUUGAAUCGUGCAUGCUACUGGUACGGGCCAGUAGUAUCUUUAGAAGAUUUUCCCCCC
rfam:Drosophila busckii chromosome 2R sequence.